GUCAGAAAUAGGCUGCUAAUACCGCAUAAGCGCACAGAGCUGCAUGGCUCAGUGUGAAAAACUCCCGGUGGUAUAAGAUGGACCCGCGUUGGAUUAGCUUGUUGGUGGGGUAACGGCCCACCAAGGCGACGAUCCAUAGCCGGCCUGAGAGGGUGAACGGCCACAUUGGGACUGAGACACGGCCCAGACUCCUACGGGAGGCAGCAUG
rnacentral:rRNA from 1 species